rnacentral:rRNA from 1 species
GAAAAGUAGAUAGCGGAUGCCUAGGCAAUAAGAGCCGAAGAAGGACGUUUUAAGCCCGCGAAAGUCGCCGGGGAGCUGGCAAAAAGCUUCGAUCCGGCGGUGUCCGAAUGGGGUAACCCCCUCUGAUUCAAACCAGAGGAGCUUGACGUGUAAUGUGUCAAGUUGGUAAGUCGGGGAACUGAAAUAUCUAAGUACCCGGAAGAAAAGAAAUCGCAGAGAUUCCCUGAGUAAGCGACGAGCGAAAAGGGAACAGCCCAAACCCAAUUUAUUGGGGGUUGUAGGGCUCUCAUACGCUACAGGUAAGGUUAGAAAAACAAUCAUGGAAUGGAAGGCCAUAGAAGGUGAAAGCCCUGUAUUCAAAAACCAAGCCUGAGUAGAGAGACUCCUGAGUACUUCUGGAGACGGCAAACUCCAGUAGGAAUCUGGGCCGACCACGGUCCAAGGCUAAACACUCUUAUUGACCGAUAGUGAACUAGUACCGCGAGGGAAAGGUGAAAAGACGGGUGAGACACCCUGUGAAAAGAUCCUGAAACUAUCUACUAACAAACAGUCAGAGCCGUGCUUGCACGGUGAUGGCGUGCCUAUUGAAGAAUGAGCCGGCGAGUUAUUCCAUACAGCAAGGUUAAGCAUUUUCCGAUGCGAAGCCGAAGGGAAACCGAGUCCUAACAGGGCGACUUAGUUGUGUGGGGUAGACCCGAAACCAGGUGAGCUAACCAUGAGCAGGGUGAAGCGAGGGUAAAAUCUCGUGGAGGCCCGAACCGUUGUAUGUCGCAAAAUGCUCGGAUGACUUGUGGUUAGGGGUAAAAUGCCAAACGAACCUGGAGAUAGCUGGUUCUCUCCGAAACACGUCUAGGCGUGGUCUCGUGUAAAAGUUUGUCGGGGGUAGAGCACUGAAUGGGCCUUGGGACGCAAGUUCUAAUGUCCAAUCAAACUCCGAAUACCGACGUAAUGUUUCACGGGAAUCAGUGCCCGGGGGCUAAGCUCCGGGGGCGAAAGGGAAACAUCCCAGAUCUUCGUGUAAGGUCUCUAAAUAUAUGCUAAGUGGGAAAGGAAGUCAUUAUCCUCAGACACCUAGGAGGUCGGCUUAGAAGCAGCCAUCCUUUAAAGAAAGCGUAACAGCUCACUAGCCGAGGGUCGUGGCGCCGAAGAUGUAACGAGGCUCAAGCAUAUUACCGAACACAAGGGUUCCAGUUUACUGGAACGGUAGGAGAGCGUUCUUGUGGCGUUGAAGGCAGACUGUAAGGUCUGUUGGAGCAGCAAGAAGUGAGAAUGCUGGCAUAAGUAGCGAAAUUGGAGUGCGAAUCUCCAACACCGAACACCCAAGGUUUCCAACGCCACGUUCGUCGACGUUGGGUUAGGCGGCCCUAAGGCGAGGCCAUUUGGCGUAGCCGAUGGAUUACCGGUUGAUAUUCCGGUUCUUGUACAGGAUCGUUAUGAGUUGGGGCGUGACGUAAUUGGCUAUUCCGAGCGGUGUGAUGAAGUUACACACGUUCAAGCAGUAAGUCAGUCUUGAUAGGCAAAUCCGUCAAGGCGUUUACACGAGCUGUUAAUACAAGGCUGCGGGCAACCAAGGCCGAGUCGGAUGAAGUCAGUUACCGAGAAAAGCGUCGCAACCAGAGUCUGUGCAAUCCGUACCGAUAACCGACACUGGUGGGUGGGUCGAGAAGACCAAGGUGAGCGAGAGAACCUCUUUUAAGGAACUCGGCAAAUUAGCUGGGCGUAACUUUGGGAGAUGCCCUGCCUGUAGCAAUACAGGCCGCAGCAAAUGAUUGGGGAGGGACUGUUUAACAAAAACACAGGUCUAUGCAAACUCGAAAGAGUCCGUAUAUGGGCUGAAACCUGCCCAGUGCCGGAAGGUUAAUUGCGAGGGUGAUCCGUCUUCGGACGGCUAGCCUUCAAUCGAAGCCCCGGUGAACGGCAGCAGUAACUAUAACUGUUCUAUGGUAGCGUAAUUCCUUGUCGGGUAAGUUCCGACGUGCACGAAAGGUUAAACCACUUCCCAACUGUCUUGAAAGAGGACUCGGCGAAUUUGAAAUGGCUGUGAAGAUGCGGCCUACUAACAGAAGGACAAAAAGACCCCGUAGAGCUUUACUACAACUUGACACUGGGUUGUGUUUUCUAAUUGUUUAGCAUAGGAGGGAGGGCUUCAUUUAUGUUGCCCGCCAAUGAAAUACCUCUCUUUAGAGAACGCAAUCCUCACCUAAGUUGUCUGCAAACGGCAACAGAGACACUGUCUGGUGGGUAGUUUAACUGGGGAGGUUGCUUGCUAAAGAGUAACGCAAGCGUACAAAGGUAUCCUUAGUCUGGAUGGAAACCAGACUGUAAGCACAUGGGUAUAAGGAUGCUUAACUGUGAGACAUACAAGUCGAUCAGAGACGAAAGUCGGUCCAAGUGAUCCUCGUGCGCUUUGUGGAAGGCGCCGGGCUUAACGGAUAAAAGCUACCUCGGGGAUAACAGAGUAGUUGCACCUAAGCGUCCCUAGCGACGGUGCAGUUCGCUACCUCGAUGUCGGCUCAGGGUAUCCUGGGGGUGAAGAAGCUCCCAAGGGUUGGUCUGUUCGCCCAUUAAAACCCUACGCGAGCUGGGUUCAGACCGU